UGAGCGUGAAGAUGCAGCGGGUGUCCGGGCUGCUCUCCUGGACGCUGAGCAGAGUCCUGUGGCUCUCCGGCCUCUCUGAGCCAGGAGCUGCCCGGCAGCCCCGUAUCAUGGAAGAGAAAGCGCUAGAGGUUUAUGAUUUGAUUAGAACUAUCCGGGACCCAGAAAAGCCCAAUACUUUAGAAGAACUGGAAGUGGUCUCGGAAAGUUGUGUGGAAGUUCAGGAGAUAAAUGAAGAAGAAUAUCUGGUUAUUAUCAGGUUCACACCAACAGUACCUCAUUGCUCUCUGGCGACUCUUAUUGGGCUGUGCUUAAGAGUAAAACUUCAGCGAUGUUUACCAUUUAAACAUAAGUUGGAAAUCUACAUUUCUGAAGGAACCCACUCAACAGAAGAAGACAAAUCAGAGAUCUGAGAACCAAAAGGAACCCUUAAGAUUGGGCCUACCUUCCUUCCAAGGAGAGUCCUGGACCCCUUCAUAGAUAAGGAACAAAUGUGGAGAAGGCCAGAUGGCAUACACAAUUUUGAAGAUCAAGAAGUCCACCAAAGAAGUUUUGAUUAAACCAACCUAAAUGAAUCCAGCUGCUAUGUCACGAGAACUCAAGCCACCCUGUGGAGAAUUCCACACGGAGUGCAGCUGAGUCCUCCCAACAACAACCAGCACCAAUUUGCAAACCAUGGAGUCUUGCUCUGUCACCCAGGCUGGAGUGCAGUGGUGUGAUCUCAGCUCACUGCAACCUUCACCUCCCAGGUUCAACCGAUUCUCCUGCCUCAGCCUCCUGAGUAGCUGGGAUCACAGGUUCACGCCACCACGUCCAGCUAAUUUUUUGUAUUUUUAGCAGAGACGGAGUUUCAUGAUGUUAGCUAGGAUGGCCUCCAUCUCCUGACCUAGUGAUCUGCCUGCCUCGGCCUAUCAAAGUGCUGGGAUUACAGGUGUGAGCCUCCGUGCAUGGCCAAUCACUGAAGACUUUCUUAGAUGUGGAACUGUUUGCUAAAGAUUAUGAAUGAUUUUGAGGCUUUGAUACAUAUUGUUGAAUUGGCCUCUGGAGAAAUUGUACCAAUUGAUACCCAACCAAGAGUGGGGUAGGUGUUCCUGUGCUACGCUAAUACUGGGUAUUAUUAUUUAAAAAAAAUAUUUGCCCAAGGUGGAGGAUUUUAAAAAGGUUUUUCAUUAGCAUCUAUUUGUAAGGUUAAACAUGUAGAAUUUUUUUUUUUUUUUUGAGAUAAGAGUCUUGCUCUGUCAUCCAGGCUGGAGUGCGGUGAUGCUUUCAUACUCACUGCAGCCUCAAACUCCUAGGCUCAAGCAAUCCUCCAGCCUCAGCCUCCCGAAGCGCUGGGAUAACAGGUGUGAGCCACUGUGCCUGGUCUCUACUGGAAUGUUCAUGUUUUAAAAAGCUAAUUAUACAAUACAAAUAUUAGCAUUUUCUGUCACAUAUACUGCAAAUAUAUUUCCUAUUUUCUUGCUGUGUAAACAUGUUUGACCCUAUUCAGGUUUUUUGUUUGUUUAAGAUACGAGGAUCUCGCUCUGUUGCCCAGGCUGGGGUGCAGUGGCAAGAUAAUAGCUCACUGCAGCCUCUAACUGUUGGGCUCAAGCAAUCCUCCUGUCUCAGCCUCCUGAAUAGCUGGGACUACAGGUGCAAGCCACCACACCCAGCUAAUUUUUGUGUGUUUGUUUUUUGUAGAGAUCAGGUCUUGCUAUGUUGCCCAGGCUGGUCUUGAACUCCUGGGCUCAAGCAGUUCUCCGAUUUCAGCCUCCCAAGUAGCUGAGAUUUUUAUAUUUUUAUUCAUUUCUUUUUUUUUUUUUUUUGAGACGGAGUAUUGCUCUGUUGCCCAGGCUGGAGUGCAGUGGUGCAAUCUCCACUAACUGCAACAUCCGCCUCCUGGGUUGAAGCGAUUCUCCUGCUUCAGCCUCCCAAGUAGCUGAGACGACAGCUGCGUGCCACCAUGCCUGGCUUUUAUUCAGUUUUUGAAUGAGUAAUACCACAGGUGGUUCAACAUCAAAAAGCAUUCAAAGCUAUACAGUGAAAAGACUCCUUCCCAAUUUAGUUCACAUCCUUUUCCAGUAGGUUUCAUGAUUAAUCACGCUUUACUUAUAGCUUCAGAGUUUUUUAUACCUGUAAAAGCCAGUACAAACACAUAUGCCCCUUUUUUGCUUACAUUUUAGCAUAUGUUGUGCUAGAGUGCAGUGGUGCAAUCACCAGGCUCAAGCAAUCCCCCCACCUCAGCCUCCCAAGUAGCUGGGACUACAGGCAUGGGCCACCAUGCCUGGCUAAUUUUUAAAUUUUUUGUAGAGGCAGGGUUUUGCUGUGUUGUCCAGACUCUUGAACUUCUGGCCUCAAGCAAUCCUUCUGCCUCAGCCUCCAAAAGUGUUGGGAUUACUGGUAUGAGCCAUCAUGCCUAUCCAGUUUGUCCUUUUUUACUUUUUCUCUUUUUUAAUUGCCAUGAAUAUACUUUUAUGGGAUUUAAUUUGUCAUUCCUUAAUUUUAUGUAUCCUGGAUUGUUUUGGUCAUAAUUAGAAAGGUCUUUCCCUCUCCUAGGGGAAUAUUUUUCCUAUCCUUCCCUUUAAUACUUUUAUGAUUUUAUUUUUAAACAUUUCAAUCUUUGAGCCAUUUGGAAUUUACACUGGCAUAAAUACUCAGUAUGAUUUACUAAAUAUGCCGUAUAAAUACUCAGUACAGACUACUGAGAAUUUAUACUGGUAUAAAUACUGAACCAACUCAGUUUUGUAUCCAGAAGACUAGUUAUUGUCUUGACAUCACUUAUUGAAUAGUUUAUCUUAUCCAUGACCAUUAUUUUCAAACCGUACGUUAUGAAUUAUAUGAUGAUCACAGCAUUAUUUUUUUCAUGAAAAAUGUGCAACUUAAUGACUAACAAUAUGUAAGGCAUUAAAUAAUUGAUACUACACUUAUUUAAUGGAAUCUUGAUGUUUUCAAAGACUCUUUAAUUACAUGGGAAAUUCUCAAGACAAAAUUAAGACAGAAAGGCAAGAUACAAAAUAAUAUAUGCCAAGUGAUCCCAAUUAAAAACAAGAGUGCAUUUAUGUAUAAAAAUAGAAGAAAUAUCAACAUUUUAAGAGUAUUUAUUUCUGUCUUUUAAAAAGUUUAUCUGCAAUGAAUGUUUCCUUUUGAUAAGUUGAUAACCCCUAAUAAAUAUUAUUUAAAACACCGAAAAAGACUCAUGUGGUAGACAGGGCACAGUGGCUCACGUCUGUAAUCCCAGCACUUUGGGAGGGCAAGGUGGGAGGAUCGAUUAAGUCUAGGAGUUUGAGACUAGCCUGGGCAACAUAGCAAGACCCUGUCUCUACAAAAAUAAAUUAAAAACAAACUUAGUUGGGCAUAGUGGCAUGUGCCUGCCAUCCUAGCUACUAGGGAAGCUAAGGCGGAGGGUCACUUGAACUCAGGAGGUCGAGGCUGCAGUGUGCUGUGAUUGCACCACUGUACUCCCACCUUGGUGACACAGCAAGACCUUGUCUUUAAAACAAAACCAAAACACCUCUUGUGGUAUGUGUCUUUUAUAAAAUCAUUUUUUAAAAUAUAUUUUUAAGGUGGGAAAUACAAUGUAUUUUCUCUCUUGGGAAAGUUUCCCUUGAUUUUAUCCAAACUCCUGGGGGCUGGAGCUGCAGCCCACUGCUCACAUUCUUGGCUAUCUCGAAUGUGUUUUCUAUUUCAUGUCUCCUCAGGUGUCUCCUACAGCUGCUGGUGUGUUUUUUGCAUAUUGGACUUCCAACAUUUCUUGUUGAAUUAUUUCAGGCUCACCUUGGUCAUAAUGAGUGAAUCUGGCUUUACCCAGGGCUUCAGCCUUUGGCAUUUCACAUGAGGAAUAUCCACUGAGCUGGGGGUCAAGAGGCCUGACCUUUAAUCUUGGCUCUGCCCCAGACAAGUGUGAACUUGUGUAAGUCACUCUUGCUCUGGUGGGCCUCCUUCUGUCUUCUAUAAAGUUAAUGUGUUAGGUGAUCUCUAAAGUUCCUUCUGGUUUUGAAUGUCUAACUAUAGAAGCCACAGUGAAUGUUGGCUUUCUAGGGGUUCCGAGGAUCCUUUAGCAUCAUUAACAACAAACGAGAUUAAUACUGAGCUUGGUCUACAGUUGCUAAUCCACCGAUUCAUGCAGAAUUAAAAAUGAUCAUGACCUUUUACCAAAACUUAUUAGGUUAAUAAAUCUCUCUGUGUGUGA